rnacentral:lncRNA from 12 species
GCGUUCCAGUGUGAGUACUAAUUAUCAAUUGUUUUAUUAUUUGAGCUGAUGUUGUAUUUUCUCUCAGACCCUCUUCUCGGGAAUCGGUAGUGUUUGGCUGAUAUUUGCCUUGCUUGAGUUUAUCAUCUCCAUCUAUCUAUCAUCUUUUGCCUGUAAAGCCACUUCCUGCUGUUAUCCACAGAUGCCGUAUUUUGCACAAGGUUUACCUCCACUGCCCUGUGAUUUUAGGCCCUGUCAUUACCAUGAACCUAAGAGCCCAAAGAUAUCUGUGAUCAGCAACCCUUCCAUGAAUCACCAACCUGCAGAAAUUCCUCCACAAUACAAUGAAAUAUAAAUAAAUAUGAAUAGUAAAAAGGGGUCAGUGACGUGAUCCUGCAGUUGUGUGUGCUGCUUUUGUGGGACAAAAGGCUCCCUGUCCCUUACUACUAAUGUACUGUCAUUAGAAAAGAGAACAUAAAAGCACAGAAGAAAUCACUUGAUCAGAUUACAGAUUUUACAUAUUUUUUUAAGUCACAUAUGUGUAAAUUAUAACUAUUCAAGACACUAAUAGAUACUAUUUCCUGGUUUUCUUUCUUUAGUUAAGUCAAAGUUGCCCUAUCAUCAGUGAAACUGGAUAGAUUGUUUUGAACAAGUAAUAGACAAUACUGUAAUACUGUAGGAAUAAAAUAUACUGAAUAAAAAUU